rnacentral:tRNA from 1 species
GGUGAGGUGGCCGAGAGGCUGAAGGCGCUCCCCUGCUAAGGGGAGUAUGCGGUCAAAAGCUGCAUCCGGGGUUCGAAUCCCCGCCUCACCGCCA